CAACCAACCCUGCCUCUGUUAUCACUCAAGAGAUGAGCAAAUACUUCCUACAUUCCAAAGGGAAGGGGACAAGUACAAGUUUUCAUGAAAUCUACCAAAUUGGACAAGAGAAAGGGAACUUUGUUGCAAAUCAAAACCACCAAGCGUAUCACAGAA